AUACGUAGGGGGCAAGCGUUGUCCGGAAUUAUUGGGCGUAAAGGGUGCGUAGGCGGCCUUUUAAGUCAGGUGUGAAAGCCCACGGCUUAACCGGGGAGGGUCAUUGGAAACUGGGAAACUUGAGUGCAGAAGAGGAGAGUGGAAUUCCAUGUGUCGCGGUGAAAUGCGUAGAUAUAUGGAGGAACACCAGUGGCGAAGGCGACUUACUGGACUGUAACUGACGCUGAGGCACGAAAGCGUGGGGAGCGAACAGGAUUAGAUACCCUGGUAGUCCACGCCGUAAACGAUGAGUGCUAAGUGUUGGAGGGUUUCCGCCCUUCAGUGCUGCAGCAAACGCAUUAAGCACUCCGCCUGGGGAGUACGACCGCAAAGUUGAA
rnacentral:rRNA from 1 species